GGAAGGUUCGCCUAGCGGUUUAUGGCGCCACCCUGGAAAGGUGGUUGGUCGAAAGGCCUCGAGGGUUCGAAUCCCUCACCUUCCG
rnacentral:tRNA from 1 species